GAACGCACAUUGCGCCCCUUGGUAUUCCGAGGGGCAUGCCUGUCCGAGCGUCAUUUCACCAAUCGAGCCCCGCUCGGUAUUGGGCCUCGUCCCCACAGGACGGGCCUCGAAGACCCCGGCCGCGCGGUCCCGCUUCAGGCGUAGCAGAGCUUUCGCAGCCUCGCCUUGGAAGCGUGUCCGUGCCGCGCCGAACGACGAACCCCUUUCUAUCAAGGGUUUGACCUCGGAUCAGGUAGGGAUACCCGCUGAACUUAAG
rnacentral:misc_RNA from 1 species